rnacentral:lncRNA from 1 species
ACUGUCAUGACUGUGUAUGUAGAUUCUUAACUUUUGGUCCCGUUUUCAAAUUGGUCUACAUUAAGGUCCAAAGGGUCCAAAAUUAAACUUAGUUUGAUUUUGACAAAAAAAUGAAUCAGUUAGGUUCUUUUGAUAUGGCUGAAUCUAAAAAUGUACUUAGAUUCUUGAUUAUUGGCCCAGUUUUCAAGUUGGUCCAAAUCGGGGCC